ACUCCUACGGGAGGCAGCAGUGGGGAAUAUUGCACAAUGGGGGAAACCCUGAUGCAGCCAUGCCGCGUGUGUGAAGAAGGCCUUCGGGUUGUAAAGCACUUUCAGUAGGGAGGAAAGGGUGAGUCUUAAUACGGCUCAUCUGUGACGUUACCUACAGAAGAAGGACCGGCUAACUCCGUGCCAGCAGCCGCGGUAAUACGGAGGGUCCGAGCGUUAAUCGGAAUUACUGGGCGUAAAGCGUGCGCAGGCGGUUUGUUAAGCGAGAUGUGAAAGCCCUGGGCUCAACCUAGGAAUAGCAUUUCGAACUGGCGAACUAGAGUCUUGUAGAGGGGGGUAGAAUUCCAGGUGUAGCGGUGAAAUGCGUAGAGAUCUGGAGGAAUACCGGUGGCGAAGGCGGCCCCCUGGACAAAGACUGACGCUCAUGCACGAAAGCGUGGGGGGCAAACAGGAUUAGAUACCCUGGUAGUCCACGCCGUAAACGAUGUCUACUCGGAGUUUGGUGUCUUGAACACUGGGCUCUCAAGCUAACGCAUUAAGUAGACCGCCUGGGGAGUACGGCCGCAAGGUUAAAACUCAAAUGAAUUGACGGGGGCCCGCACAAGCGGUGGAGCAUGUGGUUUAAUUCGAUGCAACGCGAAGAACCUUACCUACUCUUGACAUCCACGGAAGAGACCAGAGAUGGACUUGUGCCUUCGGGAACCGUGAGACAGGUGCUGCAUGGCUGUCGUCAGCUCGUGUUGUGAAAUGUUGGGUUAAGUCCCGCAACGAGCGCAACCCCUAUCCUUAUUUGCCAGCACGUAAU
rnacentral:rRNA from 1 species